ACACAUCGUGGGCCUGUGGCAACUUCCUAAACUCCACAGUUUCGGCGCUGACGCUACGCGCGACCUGGCGGCUAGGGUUUGCGCUCGAUGGAGCACAUGAACAUCGUCGCCGGCCACUAGUCGCCGGACCGUCGCCGUGGCUUGCCGCGCAUCAAUCGAGUAUGAUUCUACCUGUAUACGGUCAUACGGAGUAUAUGGACCACGGUCAGAUGGGCAGCACGCCCGCACCGCCACACCCAAAUUCGCUAACUUCGUCAUGUGAACCAGAAUCAGAGAGGUCAUGGAGAGGAAGACACCACCGACAAGUAAUUUUCAAGCCAAUUGCUGUAAACUCUAACUCUACGGUUCAAGAUGAAAAUCCAACUGGGGAGAUAGAUGCCACAUAGCAACCUACUGAAUGUAAAAGAGUGCUCUUGCUUGCUAAAGGCACAGGCAUACACAAAUCUUUCCUCGUGCCAUUGUUUGUUCUGCAAGCACCUAGCCCUGUAAUCUCAUGGAUCAAGAGUGAAUAUGGGCUGUGGACUGCUUUUCUUGCGCUUGCAGUGCGUUUGUUCUUACCCUUUCCAGAUGAGCUAGAGCUUCCACUGUCAAUGAUGCUGGCGGUCAGCAUUGCUCCUUACCAGGUGAUGAAUGUGAGGUAUGUAACAUUCUCACCAGUUUGAAAGACAUUGGCAGUACUGCUGCAUAUGUCUUUGAUAAUUCAACCACUUGGUCAAUUGUCCGCUAGAUGAAAAGUGUCUAAAAAGAAAGGAAAUUAACUUGUAGAAGAACUUUUAAGCUGAGAAUUCAUUGCCUAGCUUAGCCAGUGCAACGUGAAAAAGGUAUAAGAGGAUCUAGCUUAAUCCAUGUGUAUGGUAGCAGAUCAUAUACUUUGCUUUUUUCAAUUUUCUAAAUUACAGUUUCACCCCUAGCCACAUUUGCGGGUAAAACAAUGUAGUUUGCGCAAGCAGCAGAUCUAGAGAAUCUUUUGUAGGGCGUGAGUUACUUGAUAGACAUCUAAUAAAAAGAGGCAUUUUCUUUCAGCUUGAUACAGAAUAUACCAGUGCUAUUGGGUGCUCUUUGGUACUACAAUUGCCUCACCCACUCUACAAAACCUUGAGUGUAUACGGUCUUUUGUUCUUCACUAUUACAUUAUUAAGGCUGCUAAUUUGUGCUAUGUACAGAUGAAAACACAUAAUGUGACAUAAUUGAUUCAUGUGACGAUCCAGUGUUCCCUCUGCUCUUUUUGUGUGAACUCUAGCUAGAAAAUUUAGCUGGGGUAUUUUUUUGCCACUUAUUAUUUGUUACAAAGAGUUGGGUGUUUCUAGACACAAAAUAUUUUGUUUACUGGUUUGUACCAAUGGGUUAGUUCCAUCUCAGGUUAAAUUAGUCAGUGUUGAUAAAAAAUGAAAUUUGGCCAUAUAGGUUGAUCGAUCAUUGAUGGUACAGAUGUGAAAAGCAACAAUUUUAUAUCCCACUGUGUUGGACCCAAAUACCUUCUGGAAAAAAAUUAUGAAGGGUGGGAUACUAGACCGCCAUGUAAUUUCAGUUAUAUCUUUAUAAAAUAGGUGGAAUUUUAGGUAUGGUCUGCUAUCCCCCCCCCCCCCCCCCCCCAACCCCCUCCCUAAUUUGGUUCUAUUUGUUUUUUAAGGUACCUAUUUAUUUUGAGUUUCUCUAUAUCAAACACAGAGGUUGAAUGUAUGGAUGUUUUUUUUGACGGGAGGUUGAAUGUAUGGCUUAGCACUACAUGUGGCUUGUUCUGCUCAAGUUAUUUCAGAUACAUGCCUCAGUUAAUCCUUUGCAGGAUCUUGAGGAGCUCUUCUGUGUUGUAGUGCUUUGAAGGUGAAGCACGUUCCUUGGAUUUUGCUCUGUUAUUGUUGUAAGAAGUAGUAUCUUUGUGCUUUUAGCAUUGAGAAUAUUCAAGGAACUACCUACUACGACAUCAUUUUCUAGGAAAUUAGGUCAUAACAAGAGACGAUGAAUCCGUUAUUUUCCUUGUUGUGGGUAGGGUCGAAUUUUGAAUGACCAAGCUUUUGUAUGAUUUUGAUUGACCAAGCUUGCUUGCUGCUUGCUUGUCAGUCAGGCUAUGUUGGUGGAUUUUAGAGAGAACUUGUCUUCGAACAAUACUAUCCAGAAGCAGCAAGGGAAAGACAACCAUUGCAUUACUACACUUAGAUAAUUUUGACUUGUUAGCUACACCGUUUGGAUGGUGCUACUUGUAGAAAAUUAUAGACAAUCAACCCUUCAAAAUUUACCGGACACAUCAUCCUGGAGUACAAGAUAUUUUUAUAACUAUGCCUACAGCUCAUGAUCUCUAUGCCUAAAUUUAUUAUUUGGUGGCAUUGUGAGG